rnacentral:tRNA from 1 species
GGGAUAUGGCGAAAUUGGUAGACGCUACGGACUUAAAAUCCGUCGAUUUCAAAAAUCAUGAGG